rnacentral:rRNA from 27 species
UGCAGAAUCCCGUGAACCAUCGAGUCUUUGAACGCAAGUUGCGCCCGAAGCCGCUAGGCCGAGGGCACGCCUGCCUGGGCGUCA